rnacentral:tRNA from 1 species
GCAGUGGUGGUUCAAUGGCAGAAUUCUUGCCUUCCACGUGGGAGACCUGUGUUCGAUUCCCAGCCAAUGCA